AUUGAACGCUGGCGGCAGGCCUAACACACGCAAGUAGAACGAGUGGCGGACGGGUGAGUAAUGUCUGGGAAACUGCCUGCUGGAGGGGGAUAACUACUGGAAACGGUAGCUACUACCGCAUAACAUCUGAUGUGCUCAGAUGGGAUUAGCUCGUAGGUGGGGUAAAGGAUCACCGAGGCGACGAUCCCUAGCUGGUCUGGGAGGAUGACCAGCCACACUGGAACUGAGACACGGUCCAGACUCCUACGGGAGGCAGCAGUGGGGAAUAUUGCACAAUGGGCGCAAGCCUGAUGCAGCCAUGCCGCGUGGAUGAAGAAGGCCUUCGGGUUGUAAAGUACUUUCAGCGGGGAGGCGUUACCCGCAGAAGAAGCACCGGCUAACUCCGUGCCAGCAGCCGCGGUAAUUC
rnacentral:rRNA from 1 species